rfam:Schistosoma haematobium scaffold976_3, whole genome shotgun sequence.
AUCCAACCGAUGAGCUCCAAAUAGGACGAAACAUGUGUCCUGGAU